rnacentral:rRNA from 1 species
UACGUAGGGUGCAGGCGUUAAUCGGAAUUACUGGGCGUAAAGCGUGCGCAGGCGGCCUCUUAAGUCAGAUGUGAAAUCCCCGGGCUUAACCUGGGAACUGCGUUUGAAACUGGAAGGCUAGAGUGUGGCAGAGGGGGGUGGAAUUCCACGUGUAGCAGUGAAAUGCGUAGAGAUGUGGAGGAACACCGAUGGCGAAGGCAGCCCCCUGGGCUAACACUGACGCUCAUGCACGAAAGCGUGGGGAGCAAACAGG